UAGGGAAUCUUCGGCAAUGGGGGCAACCCUGACCGAGCGACGCCGCGUGAGUGAAGAAGGUUUUCGGAUCGUAAAGCUCUGUUGUAAGAGAAGAACGUGUGUGAGAGUGGAAAGUUCACACAGUGACGGUAACUUACCAGAAAGGGACGGCUAACUACGUGCCAGCAGCCGCGGUAAUACGUAGGUCCCGAGCGUUGUCCGGAUUUAUUGGGCGUAAAGCGAGCGCAGGCGGUUUAAUAAGUCUGAAGUUAAAGGCAGUGGCUUAACCAUUGUUCGCUUUGGAAACUGUUAAACUUGAGUGCAGAAGGGGAGAGUGGAAUUCCAUGUGUAGCGGUGAAAUGCGUAGAUAUAUGGAGGAACACCGGUGGCGAAAGCGGCUCUCUGGUCUGUAACUGACGCUGAGGCUCGAAAGCGUGGGGAGCAAACAGG
rnacentral:rRNA from 1 species